CCAUAGGUGGUCGGGGAGGAUGAUCAGCCACACCGGUAAUGAGACACGGCCCAGACUCCUACGGGAGGCAGCAGUGGGGAAUAGUGGACAAUGGGCGCAAGCCUGAUCCAGCCAUGCCGCGUGAGUGAUGAAGGCCCUAGGGUUGUAAAGCUCUUUCAACGGUGAAGAUAAUGACGGUAACCGUAGAAGAAGCCCCGGCUAACUUCGUGCCAGCAGCCGCGGUAAUACGAAGGGGGCUAGCGUUGUUCGGAAUUACUGGGCGUAAAGCGCACGUAGGCGGAUACUUAAGUCAGGGGUGAAAUCCCGGGGCUCAACCCCGGAACUGCCUUUGAUACUGGGUAUCUGGAGUCCGGAAGAGGUGAGUGGAAUUCCGAGUGUAGAGGUGAAAUUCGUAGAUAUUCGGAGGAACACCAGUGGCGAAGGCGGCUCACUGGUCCGGUACUGACGCUGAGGUGCGAAAGCGUGGGGAGCAAACAGGAUUA
rnacentral:rRNA from 1 species